rnacentral:lncRNA from 1 species
CUCCAUUCUAUGUGUCCAGUCUUAGGCCCCUGCUGCCCUCCUGGCUCUCAGUGGAGAGAAAAGAGGAAAUAAAUUUGGACCCAGCCUUGAGAUCCUGGAAGAGCUCCUUUGGAUUUAGCCUUGGGAUCCUAGCAUCUCCUCACAAAAUUAUGAUCUUCCCUGGGCAUCUCUAAGCCACCAAUUGGGUUGCCUGCACCUGAGCAAAUACAGCAAGCACCUGCCUUAGAGAGCUCUUAGAGGGAUUAUCCGCAGCCUGAAGAAAGAAGGUUACAACUGAGGAAGAACUUCUGAACAGGGAAGAGUGGAAGAAAAGACUGCAGUAGGCUCAGCUCCAGAAGCAGACCCAGAAUGGCAUCCUUCUCUGAGACCCAGACCCCAGCCCCUCUUCAUGGAAGACCAGCACAAAGGAGGAAGUAGGUUAGGGAAUGGUAAGGCUCCAUGUGAUGGGACUAAUGUGGAGAGGCCUGGGGCCUUUCCCUGAGGACUGGAUGGCUGGAGUUUGGGAGCCUGAGUUGACAGAGGAGGCUAAGCCCGGGCAGCUACUUUGUUCCAGAAAUCUAAGGUCCCUGGAGGGAGGCUCUGCUUUGGGAGGGGGAAGGGAGCUAACAUUGCAGAGCACCAACUGUGAACCAGGUACAAUGGCAGAGCCUUUCCAUACCUGUACUCACAACUAGCGGGUGAGGAGUCAAGGCAAAUAGGUGUCUCAUAGCUCCCCAUAUCUCGGCAGUCGACCACCUCCUCCUUUGAUUCUCUGAUGUCACUGCCAGUUCUCCUCCUAUUGCUCUGACCUGUCUUUCUCUGUGUCCUUUGCAAACUCAUUCUCAACUCCUUAGACUCAGUCAAGUCCCCCAGUUACACACUUCCAUGGUACUAUAUAUCGUUCCUUCAGAGCACUUAACACAGUUAUUUCCUAUGUAUUUGUCCAGUCAUUUGAAUAAUGAUCCUAGUUUCAUUGGAUGGAAAGUUCCACAAGGUCAGUGACCAUUUCUAUCUGUGUUCACCAAUGUGUUCCCAGUGCCCAGAAACAAUGCCUAGCAUAAAG